rnacentral:piRNA from 1 species
UGAGAUGAAAGUAGGCAAGACAGGGAGGA